GCUUGCUUUCUUUGCCGGCGACCGGCGCACGGGUGAGUAACACGUAUCCAACCUGCCCUUUACUCGGGGAUAGCCUUUCGAAAGAAAGAUUAAUACCCGAUGGCAUAAUGAUUCCGCAUGGUUUCAUUAUUAAAGGAUUCCGGUAAAGGAUGGGGAUGCGUUCCAUUAGGUUGUUGGUGAGGUAACGGCCCACCAAGCCUUCGAUGGAUAGGGGUUCUGAGAGGAAGGUCCCCCACAUUGGAACUGAGACCCGGUCCAAACUCCUACGGGAGGCAGCAUG
rnacentral:rRNA from 1 species